AACGAACGCUGGCGGCAGGCUUAACACAUGCAAGUCGAACGCCCCGCAAGGGGAGUGGCAGACGGGUGAGUAACGCGUGGGAAUCUACCGUACCCUACGGAACAACAGUUGGAAACGACUGCUAAUACCGUAUACGCCCUUAGGGGGAAAGAUUUAUCGGGGUAUGAUGAGCCCGCGUUGGAUUAGCUAGUUGGUGGGGUAAAGGCCUACCAAGGCGACGAUCCAUAGCUGGUCUGAGAGGAUGAUCAGCCACAUUGGGACUGAGACACGGCCCAAAAUCCUACGGGAGGCAGCAGUGGGGAAUAUUGGACAAUGGGCGCAAGCCUGAUCCAGCCAUGCCGUGUGAGUGAUGAAGGUCUUAGGAUUGUAAAGCUCUUUCACCGAUGAAGAUAAUGACGGUAGUCGGAGAAGAAGCCCCGGCUAACUUCGUGCCAGCCGCCGCGGUAA
rnacentral:rRNA from 1 species